rnacentral:rRNA from 1 species
CUCGCGCUAUCAUGCAGUCGAGCGCGGGAGCGAGCUGAUCCCUUCGGGGUGACGCUCGUGGAACGAGCGGCGGACGGGUGAGUAACACGUGGGCAACCUGCCUGUAAGAUCGGGAUAACUCCGGGAAACCGGGGCUAAUACCGGGUAAUACUUUCUUUCGCAUGAAGGAAAGUUGAAAGAUGGCUUCUCGCUAUCACUUACAGAUGGGCCCGCGGCGCAUUAGCUAGUUGGUGAGGUAACGGCUCACCAAGGCGACGAUGCGUAGCCGACCUGAGAGGGUGAUCGGCCACACUGGGACUGAGACACGGCCCAGACUCCUACGGGAGGCAGCAGUAGGGAAUCUUCCGCAAUGGACGAAAGUCUGACGGAGCAACGCCGCGUGAACGAUGAAGGUCUUCGGAUCGUAAAGUUCUGUUGUUAGGGAAGAACAAGUACCGUGCGAAUAGAGCGGUACCUUGACGGUACCUAACGAGGAAGCCCCGGCUAACUACGUGCCAGCAGCCGCGGUAAUACGUAGGGGGCAAGCGUUGUCCGGAAUUAUUGGGCGUAAAGCGCGCGCAGGCGGUUCCUUAAGUCUGAUGUGAAAGCCCACGGCUCAACCGUGGAGGGUCAUUGGAAACUGGGGAACUUGAGGACAGAAGAGGAGAGUGGAAUUCCACGUGUAGCGGUGAAAUGCGUAGAUAUGUGGAGGAACACCAGUGGCGAAGGCGACUCUCUGGUCUGUUUCUGACGCUGAGGUGCGAAAGCGUGGGUAGCAAACAGGAUUAGAUACCCUGGUAGUCCACGCCGUAAACGAUGAGUGCUAGGUGUUAGGGGGCUUCCACCCCUUAGUGCUGAAGUUAACGCAUUAAGCACUCCGCCUGGGGAGUACGGGCG